rnacentral:lncRNA from 10 species
GAGCAAAAUUGUGCGCAGACGUUGCCAAACGUUCAUGGAGGGGCAAAAUCAUUCAGACUUGAGAGCCUCUGCAACAGGGGUGUGAAAGAAGAGUCAUCAUUCCUUCAAUCUAAAAGGAUUACAUCAAUUCAGUAUUGAACAACAGUUUCAUAAUGCAGUUCCAGAAAAUGGAGUGACUGCCAAUUAAAAAUGUGGGAAGAGAAAGUCUCCAUCUCCCUGAAGGAACAUACAGAGUCCUUUUAAGAUAAGUACAUUUAAAGAAAAUCGUUAUGCACAACACUAACUUCAUUGUAGGUUUUUGGCUCUCUUUCAUAUGACUAUGUCUUUGCAGAUGCCUUUAGUACCAGUGGGGAGUCUAUACUGGAAAUGCAUUCUUCGCCACUUGGCAGAGUAUUCACAGUAAAUGAAUAUCAGAGCUAGGAUUUUGUUGUUAGUUUUUUAUCUGUGGCUGGCUAAAAAGACAGACUUUUACCUACAGGUUGGAUUAUACUAAACAAAAAGAAGGAUAAGCAGAUUUUCUUUUAAGGCAAGACCAAAGGAAGGAAGGAAGACCAAAUCAAAUUUUCAUUUUGAAACAAUGAACAAUAGCAGACAAGUUGGUUAGCAGGGACACUACGUUUAAAUAUUUGUGUGUGUUUGCAUGUGGGGGGGUCUGUGUGUCUCAAAAUAGGAGCAGAAGGGCAGACUGAACACGUGUUCUUUCCCACCCCAAUUACUCUGAUAUGAUCAAAUAAAUAAAUACAUUCGUAACGCACUAGAAAACAAGAAAGGGUGGUGUCAACAUCAAAGAUGUUGAGAUAUUUAUAAAAGAUAUAGAGCAGAUAGGAUUGAAUUCUUCAUAAAAAAAAAGACCAGAAAAAAACACAUAGGAGAGAGAGAGUGCAGAGAUGAGAGUGCUUAUGGGAACUUCAGGCAGCCUUAGGAGGUCAAGGAGCAAUUGUCACAGUGAUUAACUGGGGCAGUGCAUUUAGAGGGACUAGGCUGAUCAGCCAGCCCCCCUACCUCCUGACUAAGCUGAGCAAAAGAGAGCAGGAAUUGCCCUCAGGCUAAACAGAUGAGCAUGGGCUCUGAGACCAAAGAGAUGGGACAAUUCAUUGUCACAAGUAGCUAGUGAUACCCUUGAGACCAGCUGAAACCUCCUCCUAGCAGAAUGCCCUGUCCUGUCCCCACGAUCACUGCAGAUAAACUCCUGUAAUCCGAAUCAAUUUCUACUAAAAUGUGAACAAGUUAUUCAAAUAUGUAUGCCAACAAAACUAAGAUUCCAAGAUAAAGAAAAAUGUGGGAUAUAAGAAAGCAUGAUAAGAAAAAAAUAUAUAUAUAGUUAAGUUUAAAUCUUUUUUCUUUAAUUUCAGCUUUUAUUUUAGAUAUGAGGACGGGAGCUACAUGUGUAAGAUGUGUACACAUAAAUGUGUACAUUAUAUGUGUACACAUAAAUGUGUACAUUAUAUGUGUACACAUAAAUGUGUACAUUAUAUGUGUACACAUAAAUGCUGAUGAACUCUAUAGUCAAAAACUAAUUAUAGUUGGAGGCAUAUUUUAAGAAUUUAAAAGUAAAACUUCUGGUUAAACUUAAUGGAUUAAGUCUACAUAUUUACUUUAUUUUAUUUUAGAGUGCUACUAAAAACUUAAAAGUAAAUUAAACAGGCCAGGCGUGGUGGCUCAUGCCUGUAAUCCCAGCACUUUAGGAGGCCAAGUCGGGCGGAUCAGGAGGUCAGGAGAUCAAGACCAUCCUGGCUAACACGGUGAAACCCCGUCUCUACUAAAAAUACAAAAAAUUAGCCGGGCAUGGUGGUGGGUGCCUGUAGUCCCAGCUACCCGAGAGACUGAGGCAGGAGCAUGGCGUGAACCCGGAAGGUGGAGCUUGCAGCGAGCUGGGAUUGCGCCACUGCACUCCAGCCUGGGCUACAGAGCAAGAUUCUGUCUCAAAAAAAAAAAAAAAAAAAAAAGGAAAUUAAACACGUACACAGGUAUGCACACACAUACAAAGAGACAUUUUAAACCAAUAAAAGCUAAAAGAAUGGGAAAGGAAAUGACAGCAAAUGAAGUGUGGUAAAAAGAAAAGAAAAGAAAAAAGAAAUGAAAGAAUAAAGAAAGCAGCUGUGUAAGUGGUAACUGAUUUGCUAAAUCUGAAAAGGCUAAAUUUUAUGCCUGAAGAGAGGCAUGCCAACAGGAAGCAAGACAAUUUGUGCAAAAGAAACCCAGAAUGACUUAGGAAUUGGAGGCUCUGAGUAUCUCUGAAGGUGAGGGUAAAGGGUAGAACUGAAGAAUGAACUCUUAGAAGGAAGUUUGACUACUGUAAUCCCAGCACUUUGGGAGGCUGAAGUGGGUGGAUCACUUGAACUCAGGAGUUCGAGACCAGCGUGGGCAACAUGGCGAACCCCCGUCUCUACCAAAAAUACAAAAAUUAGCCAGGCGUGGUGGCAUGCGCUUGAGGUCCCAGCUACUUGGGGGGCUGAGGUAGGAGGAUCACUUGAGCCAGGGAGGCAGAAGUUGCAGUGAGCCAAGAUCUCACCACUGACUGUACUCCAGCCUGGGCAACAGAGCCAGAUCCUGUCUCAAAAAAAAAAAAAAAAAGAAGAAGAAGAAGGAAGUCUGACUAAAUAAAAAACAAUCAGACCCCCAAGUGUCCUCCCUUAUUCCAAUAUCUAGGUGAUUACCUCUAACUAAGCUGAGAAGACAGAAAAGUAAUGAUUCUGGAGAAAUUAAAUCUGAGAAGCUCUGAGCUCCAGGAACAGGAAGCACAGCUAAUAGAUUAAAUGAAAUCCUAUGGAAAGAACUCCCGCUAGCCGGGCAUGGUGGCUCAGGCCUGUAAUCUCAACACUUUGGGAGGCUGAGACGGGAAGAUGUCUUGAGCCCAGGAGUUAGAGAUGAGUCUGGGCAACAUAGUGAGACCCCAUCUCUACUAAAAAUUAAAAUUAAAAAAAAAAAAACGGCCAAGUAUGAUGGUGUGUAUCUGUAGUCUCAGCUACUUGGGAGGCUGAGGUGGCAGUAUUGCUUGAGCCCAAAAGGUUGAGGCUGCAGUGAGCCAUGUUCAUACCACUGCAUUCCAGCCUAGGCAACAGAUCCAUGGACACAUAAAAAAAAAAAUGGCCUCCCAGAACCCUCCAAAUUUGACGGUGGGAUUAUUAUUCCUAUUUCACCCAAGACAGGAGACUAGAGAAGUCCUCUCUGAGGAAACCAUCCUGUCUAAGAGACAGAACUACUGUUGAGUUUGAAUUCAGUCUGUACACACAGUCUUCUUGAAUGAUUUGUUUAUGACCAGUGCGUUCUGAGAGUCCUGGUACCUCUCUGAAUGAAUGAUACCUAUGCCAUAUCAGCCUUGGGGGCCCCCAAUUAAUGAGUUAGUUACUAGAAAACUCAGCAGUCAAUAAGACUCAGCCUCAUACACAGAGCAUUUGAUCAGCUAUUUACAGUAUCAUUCUUAUUGUGAAGAGUCAACCAAAGAUUACCAGGUAUUAAAGUACGCCACCAAGAUGAAAAGCAAAGACAUAAAUAAAUAAAUAAAUAAAUAAAUAAUAUAACUCGGAGGGAAAAGAGAUAAUUCAAAGGGCAGAAUAAAACUCUUAAAAAGUUACACUUUCAGGGAAUGCUUACAUACUAUUGGUGGGAAUGUAAAUGAGUACAACCUUCAUGAAAAACAUUAUAGCAAUUUCUCAAAUAAGUAAAAUUAGUACUUUCAUUCAAUCCAGCAAUUUCACUAUUUGGUAUCUACCCAAAGGGAAAACAUCAUUAUAUAAAAAACAUACCUACACUCAUAUGUUUAUCAUAGCACUAUUCACAACAGCAAAAAUAUGGAAUCAACCUAAGUGUCCACCAAUGGAGACUGAAUGAAGUUAUAUAUAUACACACAUUUUAUAUAAAUAUAAAAAAUACAUUUUUAUAUAAGUAUAUAAAGUAUGUAUUUAUAUAUGUUUUAUAUAUAUAUAUAUAUAUAUAUGGCAUGGAAUACUACUCAGCCAUAAAAAAGAAUAAAAUUAUGUCUUUUGCAGCAACGUGGAUGGAACUGAAGGCCAUUAUCCUCAGUGAAUAACUCAGAAAGUUAAAUACUGCAUGUUCUCACUUAUAAGUGGGAGCUAAACAAUGGGUACAUGUGAACAUACAGAGGGAAAUAAUAGACAUUGGAGACUUCAAAAAGUGGGAGGGUAGGAGGGGGUGAGGGUUGCAAAACUACAUAUUGGGUACAAUGUUCACUCUUUGGGUGACGGGUACACUGAAAGCCCAGACUUCACCACUUCACAUACAAUAUAUGCAUGUGAGAAACUUGUACUCCCUAAAUAUAAAUAAAUAAAUAAAUAAAUAUUAUAACCUCAGAGAAAUAUAAAAAGAUAUUAUAUCCACAAAACAAAUCAAACAAGAAUAAGAUGCUAUUUUUUAAAGAGACCAUGAGAAAUAUAUGAAAGGAUUCUUUCUGAUUGACCAGAAUUUUUUAAGUAGGUAGAAUUAGAAACAUAAAGUUGUAGAAAUUGCCCAGAAAUUAGAUCGAAAUAACAGAGAUGGAAAAUACAACAAAUGGGGGGAAAAAACACAAUUAUAGGAUUAUACACAGGAGAUCAGAGAUCUGAAUUAUUGUUUCAGAAAAAAUAAAUUGAGAGGAAAAAUAUCAAUAAUACAAGAAAAGGUACCACAUAAAUGAAAGAUUAUACACAUUAAAACCUUCAGCAUGACAGCAAAUAUCUCAGAGUGACUUAAUGCCAUACACUGAAGCAUGGAGUUUGCUAGUAAAGAAUUACAAAUACUUACUGACCAAAGAUAGUCAUGAGCUCAACUGCUUUAUGGUAAAAUAAUUAGCAAUUGAGUCUUCCUGCAAUUGAGGAUGUAAUCAGUCAUGAGACCACAUCAUGCCAAUUUUCAUGACCAGUUGAGUUCAGAAACUUUGUUUCUUUGUGGUUCAUAGAAGUAUUACUCCUAGAUAAGAAGACUACUGUCUUUCGCUUUGAGACGGGAGUCUCUUUUAGAACUCCAAACAUCAAAUGUUCAAGUCUGAAAGCUCAUAACUGUCCAAAAGGAGUUACCCACUAAGUGACUUGAAUUACGCCUAGAAUUCAUUUCUCUAUCUGUUCAAUUUUCAUCCCCCAUGAGAAUCUUCAAUAAUGCUAGAGAAAUAUCUUCAACAACAGCAGCGUGAUGACUUGCAAACAUUUACUGAGUAGUUCCCAUGGAGGCAUGAAAAUACACUGGAAAGCAGGCUCAUCAGAUUACAGGGAGAGAUGAGCAAAGCAAUUUAUUUAUUUAAACUUUUUAUAUGAAAAAUUUCAAAUAUAUUUUGAAAUUUCAAAAUUCAAAAAAGAAAAAAGAAUAUAAUAAACUCCAUGUACUCUGCUUCAAUAAUUGUCAACUCACAGUCAAACUUGUUUUAUUUACACCCCCAUCUAAUUCCAUUCCCCCCCACACCACUGGAUUAUUUUGAAGCAAAACCAAGCCAUCACAUCAUUUCAUCUUAUGUAUAUCUUCAUAUGUAUAUGUAUAUAUGAAGAUAUACAUGAAUUUAUACAUGAAGAUGAAAUGAAUAUAUAUAUAGGAAUGAAUAUAUAUGAAGAUGAAUAUAUUUGAUAUAUACAUAUAUAAUCAGAAAUAAGAACUUUUCCUUAAAUCUAAGCACAAUUCAUUAUCAUAAUUAGAGGUGAUUAACAAUAAUAUAUAAUAUUACUAACUAUUCAAUCACAUGUGCAUGUGUGUGUGUAUGUUUUGGAAACACUAUAGGUUAAAACAUAGUUGAUUGUUUUAAUUCUUGUAGUUAUUAUUAUUUUAUUGAGGCUCACAUCAUCUCAUCUUUGCCUAGAAAAAGGCUUCCCUAGCUGGCUCCAAAGUGUUUUAGACAUAGCCCCAAAAGUCACUGCUAGCUCUCUUGCCCUUCAGUAUGAUAAAUUAUUCCAGGUUCAUGUUACACAAUUCCUGCCCCAGAUCUGUGAUCAGUUCUCGCCCAAAGAUCCCAGGUUCCUUUUAGUGCUCACAGUCUGAGCACUAGAUUUUGAACCUAGUAAAUGAACCCAGAGAUACUCAUUUUACCUACCUUGUCAUUAUUGCUAAGUCUUUUCAGUCAAUAGAGCCAGGGAAUUUAUAUUUUUACAUUAAAAUACAUCACAAUUUCAAUUAAUAAUUACAAUAUAAUUUAAAGACUAGAAGGUUUCUUUUUGGCUCUGUUUUUGUUUUCUGAGACAAGUUCUGGCCAUCACCUAGGCUAGAGUGCAGUGGCCCAAUUACAGCUCACUGCAACCUUGAAAUCCUGGGCUCAAGCGAUCUUUCUGCCUUGGCCUUCUGAGUAGCUGGAACUACAGGCAUGCACUACCAUGCCCAGCCAUUUAAAAAAAAAAUCUCUUUUGUAGAAAUGGGGUCUUGCUGUGUUGCCUAGGCUAGUCCCAAACUCCUGGGCUCAAGCAAUCCUCCCACCUUGGCCUCCCAAAGUGUUGGGAUUAUAGGUGUGAGCCACCACAGCUGGCCAAGACUACAAGGUUUUUACUUAAACGUUUUUUCUCUUAAAUCUAAAUUACCUUUCUUCCAUACCAAAAAUCCUAGUUCCUGAUACCAACAUAAUUUCACUUGCUUUAUCCCAUAAUGCACACAACAGUCUCAAGAAGAACGAGAGAGAGAGACAGAGAGAGAGAAAGAGAGAGAGAGAAAAGAGAAAGAGAGGGAGGGAGGGAAGAAAGGAAGGAAAGAAGGAAAGCAGGAAGGCAGGCAGGCAGAUGUAAACAGUAACAACACUAUCAUCAAUAAUAAUUUUAAAAAACAAUGUAAAAUUGUUUCACAAUUCUUUUUCUUAGGAGAUAUCUACAUACUGUAUCAUUUGAAAUCAUUCCUCUCUGUCCUUGAGGAAUCAUCAUACUGUCUUCCACAAUGGUUGAACAGGCACCCUACAGAAUGGGAGAAAAUUUUUGCAAUCUAUCCAUCUGACAAAGAGCUAAUAUCCAAAAUCUACAAGGAAUUUAAACAGAUUUACAAGAGAAAAACAAACAACCCCAUCAAAAAGCAGGCGAAGGAUAUGAACAGACACAUCUCAAAGGAGGACAUUUAUGUGGCCAAUAAACCUAUGAAAAAAAGCUCAUCAUCACUGGUCAUUAGAGAAAUGUAAAUCAAAACCACAAUUAGAUACCAUUUCACGCCAGUUAUAAUGGUGAUCAUUAAAAAAUCAGGAAACAACAGAUGCUGGAGAAGAUGUGGAGAAAUAGGAAUGCUUUUACACUGUUGGUGGGAGUGUGCAUUAGUUCUUCCUUGAUUCUUAAAGGAACCAUGCUUAAUCUCCAGGUCUACUUGUUUACAGCUGAAGUGAGCCCCCAAGCAGUUAUAGAUUAAAUUAGUUUGCAUCAGGUAAAUUGGUUUCCACCAAACUGAAUGAAGGCACAGAAGCUGGUUGGGAUUCUUCUGUUAAACAUUGUCUAGUCUCGGAAAGCAAAAAAUAAUAAUAAUGAAAGGAGGCACUAACAAGGAAAUGAAGUAAGUUUAAUGCCUAAAAAUAGCCAUGCUUAGUAAAUACUCAUUUCUCAUCCUCAGUGAGUCCCUUUGUAAACUGCAGUUAAAAAUGAAGGCUUAAGAUGUGCAAUCCAGGAGCUGUCAGGCCUAACUUCUAUCAAGUAUCACUGCUUAGUUGAUAGCUGGUUGAGCAUAGAAUUUUAGAAUCAGACAUAUCUGGUUUUCAUCUGGGUCUACUUCUACUCAUCAAGGGAUCUUAUGAAAGUGAAUUAACCUUUCUGAACCUGUUUCCUUUCUUAAAAAGAACUAUUGUGAUAAUUAAAUAAGAGAAUGCAUAUAAAGGUUGUAUACAAGUUUUGUCACUUAAGACAUACUCAGUAAGUAUUAUUAUUAUUACUAAAUCAGUAUAUUAAUCAGGACUCAAUUGAUUGUAAGUAAAACCGAUCUCAGUCAAACUGACCUAAACAUAAAAGGAAAAUUGUUGCCCCACAUGAUUGAAAACUUCAACGGCAAGUUAGAUUCAGGCACAUAUGGACCUGGGCACUGAAAUGAAGCCCCAGGUCUUGAUGCUCACCCGAAUCUUUUUCCCCACCUUCUUCCAUCUUGUGCCUUUGUUUUGCUGUUUUGCCUUCAUUCUUCUGCAGCCUUUUUUCAGAACAAUUCUACACUUAUAUUUUCCCACCUGAGAAACCUUGGCCCUAUCAAAAGCUCGCUCUCUAUACCUCAUUUAUUGGAUCAUAUGCCCUUCCAUCUCUGACCAAUCACUGUGGCAGAGAGAUAGAGAGGAAGAGAGAGAGGGAGAACUCAAACUGACCAAGCUUGAGUCGUGUGCUCAACCUGGAGCUGGAGGGUGAUGCCAGCCACACUAAACCCACAGAAUUGAAAAAGGGAGAAGGGAGUGACCCGAAGAAGAUAAGGGGGGCCUGUUACUCAAGAAAGAGAGCAUGAAUGCCAAGCAGAUAUACUUGCAGUCCAAAACUUAACUUUUGUUUUCUUAAAGAUAGUUGCCAAGAAACAGAUGAAAUGCAAACUUCACCUUCAAACUGAGAGAACAAGGUCUGCAAAGAUGGAACAACUUCUCCCUUCUAAGAAAAAUAAGGGAAAUCGUUUACUGGCCCAGAAGACCUCACGAUGGCAAAUUCAAUCAGAUCCUCAUUAACCAGAUCAAAAUGAGGCCUGACAGAGUCUUCAUUAGAUCUACAAAAUCCUGUUCGUUUUAGCUCUGAGUCUCCUGACUUGUCCGUGUCAUCAUAAAUUGGUUGUUUUGAAGUCAGAGAGGACAAAGUGCUUGCAGAUGAUGGUCACCCUGCCUGACCUAUAAGGACAAGGUUCUGUUAGAAAAAAUGAAACAGUGCAGCAGUGGCAAGGCCUGGCCAAAGAAAUAGGUUUGCUAACCGGCAAGAAACAGAGAAAAGAAAAACCCAGUUAUUUAAAAAUACUGACCAAAAUACUAACAACUACAAAGACAUUGUCCCAGUCCCAUCACGGAAACCAAUGUAAACUUCUCUUGUGAAGCUGAAUUACAGGUCACUUAAGUUCUAUUACAUACAUUUUACAUUCCCAGUCAGAAAAAUGGCAUCCUCUAUAUCUGAAAAAAUUCAUCUAACCCCAGAUGAAGUCUUCUUUUUUUUUUUAUAAUGGAAUUAAAUUCUGUCACUUUUUUUAGCAGUGGUGCCAGCGAGACCAGCCACUGAAAUAAGCAGAGUUAAUGGCCAUUGAGUUAACGGACUUGAGAGGGGCCAAAAAGCCGGCUUGCCAAUGUGCCCGUGGCUUCCACCAUAAAGUCACUCCAAUGAAUGGGGCACUGCAUUUCCAAAAUUCUCCUGUCACAAAUGCUAAUGUUGACCUAUCACAGUGCCCAGGCCAUCACAGACACUCA